CCUGCAUGCCCAGUAGCGGCGAGUGAAGCGGCAAGAGCUCAGAUUUGAAAUCGUGUUUCGGCACGAGUUGUAGAGUGUAGGCGGGAGUCUCUGUGGAGCGCGGUGUCCAAGUCCCUUGGAACAGGGUGCCUGAGAGGGUGAGAGCCCCGUAGGGUGCUGCGCGAAGCUUUUGAGGCCCUGCUGACGAGUCGAGUUGUUUGGGAAUGCAGCUCCAAGCGGGUGGUAAAUUCCAUCUAAGGCUAAAUAUUGGCGAGAGACCGAUAGCGAACAAGUACUGUGAAGGAAAGAUGAAAAGCACUUUGAAAAGAGAGUGAAACAGCACGUGAAAUUGUUGAAAGGGAAGGGUAUUGGGCUCGACAUGGGGGGUGCGCACCGCUGUCUCUUGUAGGCGGCGCUCUGGGCGCCCUCUGGGCCAGCAUCGGUUCCUGCUGCGGGAGAAGGGGCUCCGGAAAGUGGCUCUUCGGAGUGUUAUAGCCGGGGCCAGAUGCCGCGUGUGGGGACCGAGGACUGCGGCUUCUGUCUCGGAUGCUGGCAUAACGGCGCAAUACCGCCCGUCUUGACCAACGGACCA
rnacentral:rRNA from 1 species